ACAGUUUGAUCCUGGCUCAUGAUGAACGCUAGCGGCAGGCUUAAUACAUGCAAGUCGUGGGGCAGCGCAGUGUACCAAUACAUGGGCGGCGACCGGCAAACGGGUGCGGAACACGUACGCAACCUUCCCUUAAGUGGUGAAUAGCUUUCGGAAACGAAAAUUAAUACACCGUAACAUGAUGAGACGGCAUCGUUUUACCAUUAUAGCUCCGGCGCUUAAGGAUGGGCGUGCGUCUGAUUAGGUAGUUGGCGGGGUAACGGCCCACCAAGCCUACGAUCAGUAACUGGUGUGAGAGCGCGACCAGUCACACGGGCACUGAGACACGGGCCCGACUCCUACGGGAGGCAGCAGUAAGGAAUAUUGGUCAAUGGACGCAAGUCUGAACCAGCCAUGCCGCGUGGAGGAUGAAGGUCCUCUGGAUUGUAAACUUCUUUUAUCUGGGAAGAAAUCCAUGGUUUCUACUGUGGUUGACGGCACCAGAUGAAUAAGCACCGGCUAACUCCGUGCCAGCAGCCGCGGUAAUACGGAGGGUGCAAGCGUUAUCCGGAUUCACUGGGUUUAAAGGGUGCGUACGUGGGCAGGUAAGUCAGUGGUGAAAUCUCCGGGCUUAACCCGGAAACUGCCGUUGAUACUAUCUGUCUUGAAUAUAGUGGAGGUGAGCGGAAUAUGUCAUGUAGCGGUGAAAUGCUUAGAUAUGACAUAGAACACCCAUUGCGAAUGCAGCUCGCUACACUAUUAUUGACGCUGAGGCACGAAAGCGUGGGGAUCAUACAGGAUUAGAUACCCUGGUAGUCCACGCCCUAAAGAUGAUUACUCGACAUCAGCGAUACCCUGUUGGUGUCUGACCGAAAGCAUUAAGUAAUCCACCUGGGAAGUACGACCGCAGGGUUGAAACUCAAAAGAAUUGACGGGGGUCCGCACAGCCGCUGGAGGCAUGUGU
rnacentral:rRNA from 1 species